UACGUAGGUGGCAAGCGUUGUCCGGAUUUACUGGGCGUAAAGAGCGCGCAGGCGGUCGUUCAAGUCGCGUGUGAAAGCCCCCGGCUCAACUGGGGAGGGUCACGCGAUACUGAUCGACUCGAAGGCAGGAGAGGGUAGUGGAAUUCCCGGUGUAGUGGUGAAAUGCGUAGAUAUCGGGAGGAACACCAGUGGCGAAGGCGACUACCUGGCCUGUUUCUUGACGCUGGAGGCGCGAAAGGCUAGGGGAGCAAACGGG
rnacentral:rRNA from 1 species